rnacentral:rRNA from 1 species
GGAUUAGAUACCCUGGUAGUCCACGCCGUAAACGAUGGGUGCUAGGUGUCGCAGGCUUUGACUCCUGCGGUGCCGUAGCUAACGCAUUAAGCACCCCGCCUGGGAAGUACGGCCGCAAGGCUAAAACUCAAAGGAAUUGACGGGGGCCCGCACAAGCGGUGGAGCAUGUGGUUUAAUUCGACGCAACGCGAAGAACCUUACCUGGGCUAGAAAAUGCAGGAACCUGGGAGAAGUCUCGGGGUGCUCUUCGGAGAACCUGUAGUUAGGUGCUGCAUGGCUGUCGUCAGCUCGUGCCG